rnacentral:misc_RNA from 1 species
UUUUGCAGAGAUAUCAUUUGUAAUUGUGGGGAUAAUUUACCAUAUAUACAUUAUCACCACAAUUACAAAUGAUAUCUCUGCAAAAGGAGCAGAUUAUCAGCAAAUCCUCAGACCCUCUCCAUGACCAGCCAUUGAGAGGAGGUUUUUUUUUAUCACCACAACACCACAAUGAUGAGAGCUUUUUAAUUACAUCCAUUCAAACAUCGUUUUAUUCUAUUUCUAUCAUUAAAGCAAAGCAAUAAUCAGGAAAAGGGUGCAUGUCCUAUAGCUUCUAGGCACUAAAAUAUGAUCUCAGAAUCCUCCAAUCAAAGAGCAAGAGAACUCACCUCAUCUGCCUUCCACAAACCUUCCUCAUACUUAUACCACCGCAAGAGCCCUUCAUCAUUUUUUGUCCUCUGGCACAUAAUGCAGGAGUCUUCCAUGCAAGUUAAGAAUUCACGUAACCGAGAUGCCUUCUCCAGGAUAGUUUGAUCAAGCUCCCUAAUAAUUCGUCUUGGGGCAGGGGGUGUGGGGGCUUCUAUCAAAAGGCAAUGUGAUAUGUUGAGCACUUCUAGGCAUUGCAAACCAUCCAAGAUUAGGAUCAAGGCAUCCUUAAUUAGCAUUGAACAUCGUAGGCUCAAAACUUUUAAUUUUGGAAGAUAUGCAGCUAGUGUGGAGGCAAAGAAAAUGUCAAAAGGGCCCAUGACCUUGAGUUCACUGAAGUUCCUACAAUUAUUGGCAAUUUCCUCAAUAAGAUAAGGGGGAUUUGCUAUGCUAGGCAUUGUCAAGGAUUCAAGAUCUCUCCACAUGCGUAUGGCCUUGCAUAUUCCAGUCUUUUUUAUUCGGUUCCAUGCUGGCAGAACAAGUCUUCUAAGUCGUGGGCACCUUUCAGCAGUAUAAGUCAACUGCUCGUCGCUUACAUACAGAUUGAAAUGGAAUAUCAAUGAUGUUAUGUUUCCCUUGCUAAGAUUCAAGGAUAUCUUCAACACCCGAGUCAAUGUCUUAUCAGAUCGGCCAUCCACAUACACAUAAGGCUCCAAAGGGAUUUUAAUGAAAUUAGAUUUCAACAUAGACAAGUCGAGUGUUUUCCAGAGCAAAGGAUCGCAGCAGGCCAAACGCCAUGAACUACAAACGUGAGCAAUGCCCGAAGUUAGUUGGAAGAUGUCAAAAGACUGCAAUAUCUUGACUAAAAUAUCAGUGUCCAAGUCCUCCCAUCUCCUCACAACAGAGACGCUCUCAUCCAUCUCAUCAGAUUCCCAGGCGUUCCAAUGCGACAUGAAGCCUUUUAAGACAUAAUAAAGACUCCGCAGCAAGGUAAUGUGUCUGAGCUUCUUCUAUCUGCUUUUCUAGAUACUGGUGAAUCCUCUCUAAACUCACCUGUGUUGAAAUCACGUGUGAAGCU